ensembl:lncRNA
UUCACCAUUAGCUGCUCUGAAUUUGGGAGGCUUUCUGUAAUCACAGGGCAUCUUACAAUUACUGUCGGCCAGGCAGCUGCCUUUAAGUAUGUCAUCAACUGCGACUGUGCUGAGCAGAGCUAUGAAAUAGGAGCGGGGCAGGUGCACAGCCGUUAUCGCGAGAGUAUUAGCAGGAAACCCGGAAAGCGACCGUUAGAGAUCCCGCUGUGCCAAUGGUCAGCCUAGCAGUGGUGGGACUCGCGGCAGAAAGUGUGGUGAGAGGCAGAUUACAGCCUUCUCCCCGGGGCCCUCCAGGUGCUCUGGCCUCAGGCCAGCAGGUGAACUGGGGGGCCGUGGGGACAGGCCAGGGGCUGUGUCUCUCACACGGCUGCCUGUUGGUCGGGUCCAAGCCUGGAAGUGACCGUGAACCUCUUCCCGCUCCUCGCCUGCGAGACUUGAUGGCGACGUUAGUCGUCUCCACUGGUCUCCGUCCACAGAAGCCCCAGCAGCUGAAGGAUACACACACUGCCAUUCAGAUGCUGUGGUGCACAAACGUUACUCUGGUCCAUGUUCUCUUGCUCACUGCUGCCUCGUUGACAUGAAGAGAUGGUCAGGCGCAUCCUCCUGUGACCUGUCUUCAGUGACCUACCCUGGAAAUGAACUUGAAGCAGAGAGAGCAGAAAAUGCAGAAGACAUUAGCACCUGGACAGACUGUUGCCUGUUUACUUCUCAGAUCUGGGCAGCGUUCCAGGGUAUCAGCGCAUGCUGCCUGUCUCCAGGAUGACUUCAUGUCAUACUGUUGGUUUUCACGAGCCAUGAAGGACACGAGUCCAGGUCACAGAUGGCUGGUCCCAGCGAGUCAUGCUUUCAGUUCCAAGAUCUUGCUC